GAUUCUUCAUUUCUUUUUGUUUUCAUUCAUUUCUUGAAAGUGAAUCAAGUUUAUACUUUAUACAGUAAAAAAUGCACUGCAUAACAUAAGGUAGAUAUUUGUGUAAGAACGAGCUUAUAGCCAAGAGGGGCUGUGNNUUGAACUUUCAGAAAGUAGGUCAUGAUGUCCUCACCUAUGGUUGUGUUUUUGUUGACGGGCUUAUCUUCAGUCUUAAGACUAAACAAAUCUAGGAGUAAAUGUACCGC
rnacentral:misc_RNA from 1 species